rnacentral:rRNA from 1 species
GUGGUGUUAGCAGAGUGGGAAACGCCCGGUCCCAUUCCGAACCCGGAAGCUAAGCCCUCUUGCGCCGAUGGUACUGCACUCGUUGGGGUGUGGGAGAGUAGGUCACUGCCG